ensembl:processed_transcript 2810408I11Rik RIKEN cDNA 2810408I11 gene
AUUCAUCUCGAGCUGCGCCGAGUCCGGCUCCUACUGGGGAGCUGCGGCAGUUUGUUACUCGAGGCCGCCCUUCAAGGCGGGCCCCGAAGGUCCGGCCUGGUGAAGAGUUGGUUUUGUCAGCAGUUUGGUCUCUCCAUGUUUGACAGCUUCCCUUUGCUCACCCAAGUAAGUUGCACCGGACUUAGCCGGUUGUAUAUGGCUAAAUGCUCUUCUCCUGUCUUCCCAGUGUUACGUUCUCGCUUGCAACUUGGCCAUAGCAACCCCGGGGCUCGCUCCUUACUCUCAAUAAAGAGUCGUGACUGUGUCUUGCAUGAAACCCGAGGACACGUCACUCUUCAAUUUCCUCGUACGUCAAAUAAGGACCAAACUCUCGGUUCAGAAAAGCUGGGAGCCAGCAACUCCGGUUUCGCUUGUUUUCUGCCAUCACAAGACAGGAGUUUCCAGACUUUGUUUCUUUAACUAGCAAUGCAGAGAACAGUUUUCUCCCACAAAAUAGAGAACCACACUGUGGGGUGCCCACAGUCCUAAGUGAUGGGGAUGGUAGAGAGCAAUUGACCUUUAGCAUGCACCAAGUAUUGCCAACCAUGCCAACCGAGCUCCCUUAGCGCUAAGUCUAAAGAGCAGUCCAAUGUUCGAUCUCCCAGAUUUUACUGAUCGGUGGCAGGGUAGGGGGAGCAUGCAGAAACUGAGUAACUUUCUCAAGGUUACAUGACAAGGUUACUGCUCGUGUAGGGGCCAGAAUAGUCUGGAUUCCAGGUUUAUCUCCGAGUACCUGUGAAAGGAAGUCACGGUUAGGGAAAAUGACAGAGACUGUUGGUGCUUGGUAGUGUUCAUUUUAAGGAAGAGCAAUCUUUUCACUUGGGGAUUUUAAAUAUCUUCCCUAAUUGAAUCUUCUCGUUCAUUUCUGUUCCUGAAGUCCAGCAGUCCAGGCUCCCAGUAAAUUUAGGCAAAUGAGAAGCAAAGAUUUGGAGAAUCUAGCUGUACGAGUUCACACUGCUGCUCUUGGAGUACAAACACAAAUAUCUGACCCCAAAGUCAAUGAGUUCAAGAGUUUAGUUGUUUUCUUUUAAUGUAUAUAUUUAUUGUAUUUGUAUGAGUACACUGUGGCUGUCUUCAGACACAUCAGAAGAGGCAUUGGCUCCCAUCACAGAUGGUUGUAAGCCAUUAUGUGGUGGCUGGGAAUUGAACUCAGGACCUCUGGAAGAGCAGUCAGUGCUCUUAACCGCUGAGCCAUCUCUCCAGACCAAGAGUUUAGAUUUUAUACUGGAAAUAAGUGUUGAACAUGAAGUUCAGAAGUCAUUGUCAGGUGUAUUUAAGACUAUGUUAUUCUGGACAGUAAGAAGGAAGGGAAGAAAGGUCUAGUUAAGGAAGCCUAGUCUUUUCCUAGGAAAGAAAGACAACUCCAACAAAGGGCACUGGUGACUAAGUGGACAAAGAACUUAUUUCCUAAGUGAAAUAGGAAGUACUUACCUAUUGGAUAUGGAGGGAGAACAGAAGUAGAAGGC